UGGAGAAGUACUCAAGAGGCUCAAGAGGAUCCCCUGCUAAGGGAUUAGGCUGGAUUAAACUGGUGCGAGGGUUCGAAUCCCUCCUUCUCCGCCAU
rnacentral:tRNA from 1 species